rnacentral:ncRNA from 2 species
UCAGUGAUGGGUGAUGGGGCUCACCCCGAACCGCCGGCGACGGCUGAUGGCUCCUGCGCAACA